UGCGUUCACAUUAAUGCGUUGCGUUGCC
rnacentral:sRNA from 1 species